GGUGGGUGGAGCCGGAUUUCUUCUCUCUGGAGUGCAAUGAAGUGUGCAGUAAUGAGUUAUGAGAUGUCAACGGUUUUGGAGUAACCUUGGGCAGCCUGUAUAUUGAAGCUCAUGGCUGUAUUCCUGUGUUGCUGGAGAAUUUGCAUGAAUCCCUCUAACAAAGAUGAAGACCAUAUGAGAAACCCUCAGGGAAAAGUUGCUGAAAAAUUUCUCCGAGGAACAAACACACUUACAUCCUGUCCCAGAAUACUGCUGAUGACCAGAAACCCUCUUCUCAACCCCUGAGGAACUACAUGGAUGUGAGAGUGUUGAGAGGAUGGUGUUCUUCCCUAGAACUGCGAUUCUUCUGGACUUUUAGGGUGGAUUGUUGGAGCUGGGGCUCCUUCAGGAGGCAGAAACACUGGGGAACAAGGAUUCCACUCCCAGAGGAGGAGACACUCUCAUCCUCACCUCUUGGUCUGUGAUGACUGGGCCCAGCACUGACCAGGUGGCAGAUACAGGGUCCUAUGCAACAAUGUGGCCACAGUUAAAGAGAAACCAGGGCAGAGCCUCCUCAAAUGUACUCAUGACUCAGGCAGGAAUCUACAGAAGCCAUCACCACACAGGUGGUUUUGAAUUGUGAUGUUGGAGGAGACUCUUGAGAGUCCCUUGGACUGCAAGGAGAUCCAACCAGUCCAUCCUAAAGGAAACCAGUCCUGAAUAUUCAUUGGAAGGACUGAUGCUGAAGCUGAAACUUCAAUACUCUGGCCACCUGAUGCGAAGAACUGACUCAUUUGAAAAGACCCUGAUGCUGGAAAGAUUGAAGGCGGGAGGAGAAGGAGCUGACAGAGGAUGAGCUGGUUGGAUAGCAUCACUGACUCGAUUGACAUGAACUUGAGUAAACUCCGGGUGUUGGUGAUAGACAGGGCAGCCUGGUGUGCUGCAGUCCAUGGGGUCGCAAAGAGUCAGACACAACUGAGUGACUGAACUGAACUGAUCUGAGGACUGCCAGAUCAUGUGGCGGCUCUAUUUUUAACUUUAAAAGUCACUUCCACAUUGGUCCUUAUAAUGGCUGUUACCAGUUACAUAUCACCAGUAGCAAAUGGCGGUCCUUUUUUUUUUUAAUCCAGCUUCAGCAUUUCUUGAAUGUAGACUUUUUGAUAACAGUCUUUUUAGCUCAUCACACAAAUGUUACUAUCAUGAUUCCAAAUAUUGUUUUGGAUAUUGAAAGACAAUACCAC
ensembl:lncRNA